ACGAACGCUGGCGGCGCGCCUAACACAUGCCAGUCGAACGAGCGAGAGAGAGCUUGCUUUCUCGAGCGAGUGGCGAACGGGUGAGUAACGCGUGAGGAACCUGCCUCAAAGAGGGGGACAACAGUUGGAAACGACUGCUAAUACCGCAUAAGCCCACGGCUCGGCAUCGAGCAGGGGGAAAAGGAGCAAUCCGCUUUGAGAUGGCCUCGCGUCCGAUUAGCUAGUUGGUGGGGUAACGGCCCACCAAGGCGACGAUCGGUAGCCGGACUGAGAGGUUGAACGGCCACAUUGGGACUGAGACACGGCCCAGACUCCUACGGGAGGCAGCAGUGGGGAAUAUUGCACAAUGGGGGAAACCCUGAUGCAGCGACGCCGCGUGGAGGAAGAAGGUCUUCGGAUUGUAAACUCCUGUUGUUGGGGAAGAUAAUGACGGUACCCAACAAGGAAGUGACGGCUAACUACGUG
rnacentral:rRNA from 1 species